UACAGAGGGGGCAAGCGUUGUUCGGAAUUACUGGGCGUAAAGGGCGCGUAGGCGGCCUUCUAAGUCGAACGUGAAAUCCCCGGGCUCAACCCGGGAACUGCGUCCGAUACUGGAAGGCUUGAAUCCGGGAGAGGGAUGCGGAAUUCCAGGUGUAGCGGUGAAAUGCGUAGAUAUCGGGAGGAACACCAGUGGCGAAGGCGGCGAUCUGGGUCGAUACUGACGCUGAGGUGCGAAAGCGUGGGGAGCAAACAGG
rnacentral:rRNA from 1 species